AUGCCACUUCAUAAAUUUCGUCCAGAGGCUAUUCUAGGUGCAGCGUCACCUUAUUUUUGGGCCAGUGAUGAGGACAUCAAUACCAUUGUUACACCCAUAGCCCCUGCUGCUAUACAUACUGGACCAAUUACUAGAGCUCGCGCACGCCAAUUGAAUUAUCAGGUACUUUCGUUUCUUGGUAACGAUUCUGAUGUUCAUGAGAAUAUGAUGCUGCCUAAAUUGGAUACGUUUGUUUUGCUUACAAAUGAAGGGCCUAGCUUGGACAAGAAAGAUGAACCUUGGAGCAAGUUCAAGCAUGGAGAUGAUGGCAUGCGCAAGGGGAACAAGAACGAAGUUACAAGUGAUGUUUUCACGACUUUGAAGCCACCAUAA
rnacentral:rRNA from 1 species